AUACGUAGGGGGCAAGCGUUAUCCGGAUUUACUGGGUGUAAAGGGAGCGUAGACGGCUAAAUAAGUCAGAUGUGAAAGCCCAGGGCUCAACCCUGGGACUGCAUUUGAAACUAUGUAGCUAGAGUGCAGGAGAGGUAAGUGGAAUUCCUAGUGUAGCGGUGAAAUGCGUAGAUAUUAGGAGGAACACCAGUGGCGAAGGCGGCUUACUGGACUGUAACUGACGUUGAGGCUCGAAAGCGUGGGGAGCAAACAGGAUUAGAUACCCUGGUAGUCCACGCUGUAAGCGAUGAAUACUAGGUGUCGGGGACCUUCCGGUCUUCGGUGCCGACGCUAACGCAUUAAGUAUUCCACCUGGGGAGUACGUUCGCAAGAAUGAAACUCAAAUGAAUUGACGGGG
rnacentral:rRNA from 1 species